rnacentral:misc_RNA from 1 species
GCAAACUUGGUCAUUUAGAGGAAGUAAAAGUCGUAACAAGGUCUCCGUUGGUGAACCAGCGGAGGGAUCAUUACUGAGUUAUCCAAACUCCAAACCCUUUGUGAACCUUACCACAGUUGCCUCGGCGUGAGCCGCGGCUACCCGGGAGCUACCCUGUAGCCACCCUGUAGUCCGCGCUACGGCCCGCCGGUGGACCACUAAACUCUGUUUAUACCAGUGUAUCUCUGAAUCUUUAGCAAAAUACGUUAAAACUUUCAACAACGGAUCUCUUGGUUCUGGCAUCGAUGAAGAACGCAGC